rnacentral:rRNA from 1 species
UACGUAGGGUCCGAGCGUUGUCCGGAAUUAUUGGGCGUAAAGCGCGCGCAGGCGGCUAUUUAAGUCUGGUGUUUAAACCUUGGGCUCAACCUGAGGUCGCACUGGAAACUGGGUGGCUUGAGUACAGAAGAGGAAAGUGGAAUUCCACGUGUAGCGGUGAAAUGCGUAGAUAUGUGGAGGAACACCAGUGGCGAAGGCGACUUUCUGGGCUGUAACUGACGCUGAGGCGCGAAAGCGUGGGGAGCAAACAGG